GCAUGCUCUUCUGGGUUACAAUCGCCCGUUUCUGGGACUUGACUCUCUCUGACCCCUCAGUCCUCAGUCCAAGAACAUUCCUCAGGCAGGCCUGCCUUCUGGGCUGGGCCUCUUAUGGCUAACUGUGUAGCUGUGAUGGAUGUCUGGGGUCAUUGGAGAGGGAGCCUGAGAAAAUAGGGUUCUGGGUCAGUGGUCUUGGGGGAAAAGAAGAAAGGAGACCAUUCCCCUGUGGCAUUACUGCACAGUGAAGCUGCAGGACUCCCACUGACCACUCAGGUAGAAGGGUUCCAGAGAAUCUAGAAUUCCAGGAGAUCCUAACUCAGCCACACCAGUAAUGAAGAAUGUUUGCAGAGCCAUCUACAGGUUAUGAAGUUUAAGGCACCUAGAAUGUAACCCUCUGAGUGUCCUCUUGGUCAGGCUCCUUCUGCAGCAUCUGUGGGUGGGGAGACUACGUGCAUCUUCCAAGUCUUCGGGGUUCAUCUCCAUCCAUGUUCAUCCCAACAGAUGUCUCCUGAGUUGGUUGUGGAGUACGAAUGGGCUAGCCUGGACUCUGCCUCCUGAUUUCUUCUCCUAUAGUCAGAAGGUGAGUGAAUGGAAGACUGUGGGCUCUGCUCUCCACAGAGUUGGGAGGAGCCAUUUCAUUGUGGCUGAGAAGCUCUGGGGCUUCUGGCUACUAUGGGAUGGAGCAGUACUGACCAACACAGAGACACUCACACAGACCUUUUGUUCUCAAGUAUAGUAAUUUGUAUUUAUGUAGAAAUUCGUAGUUAUAAAUUCUUUCAUUUUUAAUUUUCCCAUUUGACUUUGAUUAGAGAAUUAUUUUUAAAAGUAUGGAGAUAAUGAAAUUGUUUAUGGAUUCCAAUUCAGGUUAGUCUUGGGAUUUUGCUUUCAAAAUGAAGGAAACUAGGUUUUUCAGGGCCACAGCAUCUGCUCAACAGCUAACGGUUGGUACCCUUCUCACCAUAGUAGUCAACCUUCUCAGAUAACUGUUGGCUGGGUCAGCACUCAAACCCAUCCACUCUGCUCUGGAGGAAAAGUGUAGGGCAUGCACUCUCAGGAGCUGGAGUCUAUAGACAUCAAGGAGGAGGUGAACCUUUGAGGUCAGGGCUGAGACUCCUGCUGUCAUGAGGGGCCUUAUUUCCACCCUGACACUUUUGGGGCUUGCUUGUUAAAAUGUCCCUUCCUCUGGGACAUGCAGUGUGUGUCUACUGUGUGCCGAGCGCCCCCUGCCUGAGAGUGUAAAACAGGAAAGGAGAAGAACUGUAAACUAGUCCUGUUCAGGAGACACCCAGGAGGCCAGAGCAGUCAUAAUCUUGAACCUGUGCUCUGGGCAUCUUUUUCCUCCUUUCAGGCUGCCAGCAGUGGGACCACUUUCAUCAGCAUCAUGGAUUCUCCCUGAAAAUGUGUCUUUGGUUCUGAGCUUUUAUUACUGUCCUGAAUAAGGCAUUUUGACAUGUUUUGACCCAUUGGGCAGUCACUUUCCAUACUACUUUCUUUGUUUCUUAGAGGGUUCAGAGCAAAGACAGAGCUGAGGACAAGGCUGGUGGCAUUGAAGCUGAUUCAGUCCUGGACAUGGGCUGAAAUUAUGGCUUAUCAUCUGCUUGAGAUACUUUUUUAGGUAACUGGAAAUGCACGAAGAAAGGAAAAGACAAAUGUUAUUGAGAACUCUUUUGUUUGCUUAUUUGUUUUGCUUUUUUUUUUUUUUUUUUUUUUGAGACAGGGUCUCUUUAUGUAGCUCU
rnacentral:lncRNA from 1 species